AUACGUAGGUGACAAGCGUUAUCCGGAUUUACUGGGUGUAAAGGGCGUGUAGGCGGUUUAGCAAGUCAGAAGUGAAAUUCCCGGGCUUAACUUGGGCGCUGCUUCUGAAACUGCUUUACUUGAGUGCUGGAGAGGAUAGUGGAAUUCCUUGUGUAGCGGUAAAAUGCGCAGAUAUUAGGAGGAACACCGGUGGCGAAGGCGGCUAUCUGGACAGUAACUGACGCUGAGGCGCGAAAGCACGGGGAGCAAACAGGAUUAGAUACCCUGGUAGUCCGUGCCGUAAACGAUGAAUACUAGGUGUAGGGGGUAUCGACUCCCUCUGUGCCGCAGUUAACACAUUAAGUAUUCCACCUGGGGAGUACGGCCGCAAGGUUGAAACUCAAAGGAAUUGACGGGG
rnacentral:rRNA from 1 species